AAAAAGCUCGUAGUUGGAUUUCGGAACCGGCCGAUUGGUCCGUCCUCUGGAUCGUGUACUGAUCGGUCUGUUCUUCUUCGCGAAGACCGCGUGUGCUCUUAACUGAGUGGGCGUGGGAUCCGCGACGUUUACUUUGAAAAAAUUAGAGUGUUCAAAGCAGGCAGUCGCUUGAAUAUCUCAGCAUGGAAUAAUAGAAUAGGACUUUGGUCUUAUUUUGUUGGUUUCCGAGACCGAAGUAAUGAUUAAUAGGGACAGUUGGGGGCAUUCGUAUUUCAUUGUCAGAGGUGAAAUUCUUGGAUUUAUGAAAGACGAACUUCUGCGAAAGCAUUUGCCAAGGAUGUUUUCAUUAAUCAAGAACGAAAGUUGGAGGCUCGAAGACGAUCAGAUACCGUCCUAGUUCCAACCAUAAACGAUGCCGUCUGCGGAUCGGAGGUCGCUCAUGUAAGGCUCCUUCGGCACGCUAUGAGAAAUCAAAGACUUCGGGUUCCGGGGGGAGUAUGUUCGCAAGAAUGAAACUUUAAAGGAAUUGACGGAAGG
rnacentral:rRNA from 1 species